UACAGAGGUCUCAAGCGUUGUUCGGAUUCAUUGGGCGUAAAGGGUGCGUAGGUGGCAUGGUAAGUCGGAUGUGAAAUCCCGGGGCUCAACCCCGGAACUGCAUUCGAUACUGCUGCGCUAGAGUACUGGAGAGGAGAUUGGAAUUUACGGUGUAGCAGUGAAAUGCGUAGAUAUCGUAAGGAAGACCAGUGGCGAAGGCGACGCCCUGGCUCGUACCUGACGCUCAGCCACGAAAGCAUGGGGAGCGAACGGG
rnacentral:rRNA from 1 species